AUUGAACGCUGGCGGCAGGCCUAACACAUGCAAGUCGAGCGGAUGAGUGGAGCUUGCUCCAUGAUUCAGCGGCGGACGGGUGAGUAAUGCCUAGGAAUCUGCCUGGUAGUGGGGGACAACGUUUCGAAAGGAACGCUGAUACCGCAUACGUCCUACGGGAGAAAGCAGGGGACCUUCGGGCCUUGCGCUAUCAGAUGAGCCUAGGUCGGAUUAGCUAGUAGGUGAGGUAAUGGCUCACCUAGGCGACGAUCCGUAACUGGUCUGAGAGGAUGAUCAGUCACACUGGAACUGAGACACGGUCCAGACUCCUACGGGAAGCAGCAGUGGGGAAUAUUGGACAAUGGGCGAAAGCCUGAUCCAGCCAUGCCGCGUGUGUGAAGAAGGUCUUCGGAUUGUAAAGCACUUUAAGUUGGGAGGAAGGGCAGUAAGUUAAUACCUUGCUGUUUUGACGUUACCAACAGAAUAAGCACCGGCUAACUUCGUGCCAGCCGCCGCCGUAAGAC
rnacentral:rRNA from 1 species